CGAAGCGCAAGAUCGUGACCUGAGACAAAAAUCAAGAGUUGGACACUCAACUGACUGAGCCACCCAGGUGCCCCUCUGAGUGGGGACUCAAUGGAAGCUCCUUGUGGGACACCCAGGACUAGGAAUAUUGAUCUGCAAUCUCAUCUAAGAGUGAGAAGUGACUUCAGUGCCAUGUGCCUGCAGAGAGAGAUACUGAAGACAAGCAAACCAAUUCACCCAAGGAAGUUCUAAGAACUGAAGAUCCCAGCAAACUGACGCAGAGAUGACUCCUGCCCCCCACCCUUGGCCUGAGAGAGAGAAGGGAGGAGAGGGUAUGUGCAGUCUCUGGAGAAGCUAAAUCGGAGCCGGGACAGGAGAACAGGCAGCACAGAGGACUGCAGGGGUGAAGAUGGAGACUGAACGCUGACUGGCUGGUGAGUUCCUCUCUCCAACCCCAUUCUGUUCCAGAACACAGGUACAUUCAUGAAUCCCCACCCUGUUUUUCCAGCAGAGAUCAGAGGAUCCCUCUAUGAAGAAAAAGAACCCACCGAGAAGAUCCCCUGGC